GACGAACGCUGGCGGCGUGCUUAACACAUGCAAGUCGAACGGAAAGGCCCUGCUUUUGUGGGGUGCUCGAGUGGCGAACGGGUGAGUAACACGUGAGUAACCUGCCCUUGACUUUGGGAUAACUUCAGGAAACUGGGGCUAAUACCGGAUAGGAGCUCCUGCUGCAUGGUGGGGGUUGGAAAGUUUCGGCGGUUGGGGAUGGACUCGCGGCUUAUCAGCUUGUUGGUGGGGUAGUGGCUUACCAAGGCUUUGACGGGUAGCCGGCCUGAGAGGGUGACCGGCCACAUUGGGGCUGAGAUACGGCCCAGACUCCUACGGGAGGCAGCAGUGGGGAAUAUUGCACAAUGGGCGGAAGCCUGAUGCAGCAACGCCGCGUGCGGGAUGACGGCCUUCGGGUUGUAAACCGCUUUCGCCUGUGACGAAGCGUGAGUGACGGUAAUGGGCAAAGAAGCACCGGCUAACUACGUG
rnacentral:rRNA from 1 species